rnacentral:rRNA from 1 species
GAUGAACGCUAGCGAUAGGCCUAACACAUGCAAGUCGAGGGGCAUCACAUGAAGUAGCAAUACGGAUGGUGGCGACCGGCGCACGGGUGAGUAACACGUAUGCAACCUGCCUUCAACAAGGGGAUAACCCGUUGAAAGACGGACUAAUACCCUAUAACACAGGGGUCCCGCAUGGGGAUAUUUGUUAAAGGACAACCGGUUGAAGAUGGGCAUGCGUUCCAUUAGCUAGUUGGCGGGGUAAGGGCCCACCAAGGCAACGAUGGAUAGGGGAACUGAGAGGUUUAUCCCCCACACUGGUACUGAGACACGGACCAGACUCCUACGGGAGGCAGCAGUGAGGAAUAUUGGUCAAUGGACGCAAGUCUGAACCAGCCACGUCGCGUGAAGGAAGACGGCCCUACGGGUUGUAAACUUCUUUUGUAAGGGAAUAAAGUGUAGUACGCGUACUAUUUUGCAUGUACCUUACGAAUAAGGAUCGGCUAACUCCGUG